GGAGAGGUGGCCGAGUGGUCGAAGGCGCUUGAUUCGAAAUCAAGUGUACGGGUAACCGUACCGGGGGUUCGAAUCCCCCCCUCUCCG
rnacentral:tRNA from 1 species